UACGUAGGUGGCGAGCGUUGUCCGGAAUUACUGGGUGUAAAGCGCGUGUAGGCGGGAGGCCAAGUCUGUGGUGAAAUCGCUCGGCUUAACUGGGCGGGGUCCAUGGAAACUGGUCACCUGGAGGUCGGUAGAGGCAAGUGGAAUUCCCGGUGUAGUGGUGAAAUGCGUAGAGAUCGGGAGGAACACCUGCGGCGAAGGCGGGUUGCUGGGCUGACACUGACGCUGAGGCGCGAAAGCUAGGGGAGCGAACGGG
rnacentral:rRNA from 1 species